UUGCAGCUGAACCUGCUGGUGAAGGUGGUGCAGCUUCCCAAGCCACGUCCAGGACGGAGCCUCUGGGAGAUGCUGAGGAAGUGAUGGACCAAACAUCUGUGCAGAAGGAGGCACAUCCUGGAGGAAGCAUUUUCCCAUGGGGAGCCCCUGCUGCAGGGAGGAAGGCGAUGCCAGACACGGGCACAGGCACAGCAGAUGCAGCCAGCACCACAACACGUGUUCCCAAUGCCCAGAAGGGCCUCGUAAGGGGCUUCUAUAUGGGAACAGGCUGCUGGGCAGGUUUAAUGGCAGGCCUGCUUUGUCUGGCAUUUAUCUGCAUCUUAUGCUGUGUCCAAAUUCAUUAUUACUGGAAGAGAAAAUGGUGCUCCUGUGCAUCUUCAGCAGAUGGGCCUAACAACACAGGCAGCGGGAACUUGAUAGUUUAUCCCAGCUCUCCACUUCUGCCCAUAUCUGCCCUGCCGUGGCUGCAGCAGCGUCAUGAGGCCAUCCCAAAACCCAUCCUUCCAGGAGACCCUCUGCCCCUGAGCCCCCUGGUCCUGUUCCCCGGCCAGGAAUGAAGGUGGGCAUCCCCUGUCCGCCAGGGCAGGGCUUGGCCCAUAUUUCAUAUUUAAAUAAAAGAAUAAAGUUUUCACAACUAUA